CUACAAGCCCGGGCCAUCGCUGCUGCAAAGCAGAGGAAAGUCCGGACGGCACAGAGCAGUUUACCGGCGAAUAACCGGGUUUCAAUUUCAUUUUGAAAACAGAAAGCGCCACAGAAAAUAACCGCUUUAUUAUGUAAAGUAAGGGUGAAAACGUGUGGUAAGAGCGCACGGCAAAUGGCAGUAAUGCUAUUUGCGGGUAAGCCUUGAACGCCGCAAUGCCACAUAUAGUUGUGUUUGAGGAUUGCUCGUCCGAAACAUAAGUUACACAACAGGGUAGGCAGCUACAUUGCAACAGUAAUGUUGCAGGCAGAUAAAUGAUGGCAUAAAAACAGAAUCCGGCUUAUGAGGCUUGUAGCUUU
rnacentral:RNase_P_RNA from 1 species